rnacentral:rRNA from 1 species
GACGAACGCUGGCGGCGUGCUUAACACAUGCAAGUCGAACGGAAAGGCCCUGCUUGCAGGGUACUCGAGUGGCGAACGGGUGAGUAACACGUGGGUGAUCUGCCCUGCACUUCGGGAUAAGCCUGGGAAACUGGGUCUAAUACCGGAUAUGACCUUCCAUGUAGUGUGGGGGGUGGAAAGAUUUAUCGGUGUGGGAUGAGCCCGCGGCCUAUCAGCUUGUUGGUGGGGUAAUGGCCUACCAAGGCGUCGACGGGUAGCCGGCCUGAGAGGGUGGACGGCCACAUUGGGACUGAGAUACGGCCCAGACUCCUACGGGAGGCAGCAGUGGGGAAUAUUGCACAAUGGGCGGAAGCCUUAUGCAGCGACGCCGCGUGGGGGAUGACGGCCUUCGGGUUGUAAUCCUCUUUCGACAGGGACGAAGCUUCGGUGACGGUACCUGUAUAAGAAGCACCGGCUAACUACGUG